UGCCCGAUCGUCUAAUGGCAGGACAACUGACUCUGGAUCAGUUUGUGUUGGUUCGAAUCCAGCUCGGGCAGCCA
rnacentral:tRNA from 1 species